rnacentral:lncRNA from 1 species
UACAAAUGUAGGAGUACAAAUGGGCAUUCAUAACAAUUUAAUCAUAAUUUGAUUUGUGUUUGUUUAAAUUCACUUAUCAUAUUUUCAUUAAUCGACUGUUAAAAAUUGAAAAGAAUCAAAACAUUGGUUCGUGAUGUCGUUGAGAUUAAUCUGGAAAAUUGAUAGUAAUUGUUAGUCCUCAUGGGAACGAUAUCUCUUAUCACUUUAUUACUUGAUCGACCUGUAUAGUUGCAGUAUAUAUUUCGUGCAUCAGUUUAUACCAUAUCAAAGUAUUUAUGGCAUCAGGUAUUAUAUCAGGUCUAACGGUAUUUUAGUACGACUGGUGUGGGAUGUUACAAGAACCUUCACCCAAAGAGCUUCCGUUCGAGAUAAAACAUUCCAAACCUACUUCAUAAGAAAGGUUCCAUUCAUCUCUUUCGCUUUAUGUAAUCCAAGUCCACCUUCGUCCUUUGGUCUGCAAACAACAUCCCUAGAAAUUAAAUAGGGUUUCCUCAUGUCAGGGAGGCUACCCCACUCAACGAUACAAAUAUGAGAAUCAAUCUUAUUACAGAUAUUAACAGCUAAUAAAUAAGUUUGCAUAGCAUAUAAAGGAAUCGCGUUAAGAACAAAGACCGCAAGGUCACUCUCCCUGUAAGGGAGAGAGUUUAAAUUUCCAACCUGCAAGUUUCGAAUCAAUACUAUCAAGAAUAUACUGGUAAGUAUCUUUAGUAGUGCGAUCAUGCAAAAUAGGAACACCCAAAUAACGCCCCAAGUCAUGACUUUCAUAUAAGUCCAAAUCAUCGCAAAUAUUACAAUGGAGAUUGGAAGCCACAUUCUUAAAGAAGAAAAUUCUAGACUUUUAAUUGCUAACCACUUGACCAGAAGCCUUGCAAAAAUUAUCAAGACAAUCCUUAAUAUCAAGGGAUUGACCCAUAGAAGCUUUUCCAAAGAGGAAUAAAUCGUCCACAAAGAAAAGAUGGGACAACUCGGAUCCUUCUCUUCCGAUAGAAAAAGGCUCCCACAAACCUGCACUAAUUUUAUCAACAAUCAGAUUUCUAAAUCGUUCAACAUAAAGGGUAAGAAGGUAGGGAGAAAGAGGGGAACUCUGAUGAAGUCCAUACCCAGGCUGAAAAGGAUCGAAGAGUCCACCACUCCAUUGAAUUUUUUUAAAUGGUGUUGAUAUAUAAGCUAUGACGACUUCUAUGAACCUGGAUGGAAAAUUGGCUCUACGGAGAUUAUCUUCCACAUAGCUCCACUCCAGGCAGUCAUAAACUUUAGACAAGUCAAGUUUGAUCACGAAUGCACCUUGCUUGCCCGUUUUGAGACAGAGAGAAUGCACCACUUUUUGUAAGAUGAUGAUAUUUUAUGAAAUUUGCCGACAGGGAGCAAAACUAGUUUGGUUUUUAUGCAAUAAGCUACUUCAUUAAACCCCGGAUUCGGCUUGCCAGAACUUUGUCAGGGUUUUGGUAGACCAUUGAGCAGAGGCUAAUGCAUCUAAAGUGAGUCAUAUCCAUAGGUAUUUUUAUCUUGAGAAUAAGCACCACAAUCGUCUCAUUAAUGCCCGCAACCAAGAUAUGAUUCCCAAAACAAGCAGUAAUAAAAGCAACAAGGUCAUGACCAACACUUUUGAAAGAAUAAAGGGUGAAAACCAUCCUACCCUACUGAUUUAAUCCAUGCCAUGGCUUUCAAUGCAGCAAGGAUUUCAGAUGGAUUCAAAUCAGCACCGAUCAGACCAAUAUCACUAUCCAACAAAUAGCGGCUAAAUUCCUCAUUAAGCACCAUCCUAGGUCCCAUAUUAGGCUGGAACAAUUGAAUGAAAUAUUCACGACUCAUAUUAAUUAGAGUAUUAGAAUCCUGAUCCCAAACCCAUUCUCCUUAUGCAUCCUUCAGACUCUUAUUUGGUUGAAAGUAUGUCGACGCAAAGUAAAGGUAUAGAAGAAUUUGGUGUUUCGGUUGCCUUCCAUGGUCCAUUGAUUUUUCGACUUCUAGAGCCAAAUAAUAUUUUCUUCACAAAGAGUCACUUCAAGACCCUUAUGGACCUUAGCCUCCUCUGUAGCACUUUUGGUCAAUGGAUUUGAUUCAGUAACAGCUUCGAACCUAAUUAGUCUACGCUCAAAUUGUCUCUUCCUUUUAAAAAUGUUGCCAAACACCUCUUUAUUCCAAGUAGCUAAUUUCUCCUGAAAAUCCUUUAAGGAAGCCAUAAUACCUCUCCGGUCAUUCAUCGUUAAGAAGACGAUGGAAAUCCCUAUGACUAAUCCAAGCUGCAUUAAAACAAAAGGGACGGGGAAGAUGAAUUUGACCAUUCAGACUUUUGAGGAAUACCUGGAUAGGUAGGUGAUUCGAUUUGAUCUUCGACAGAUCCAAAGUAACUGACUGCGGGAAGUUAAGGAGCCAAUCCUCGUUGAUAAUAGCUCAGUCCAAGAAAACAAGUAACUGACCACAAUUCUAGGUAAGGCAAGGACCGAUAAAACCCAAAUGAAUGAGGUUGCAUGCAUCAAGACAUUGCUUGAAGUCCUCGACCUAAGCAAUGAAAAAAUAUGCACCUCUUUGUUUAUCCAAAGCUUGAAUAGAGGCAUUAAAAUCACCUAAAACUAUCCAAGGCAAGUCAAUAUCCCCUUGGACGUCAAUGAGAUCCUCCCCUAUAGACAAACGAAACACACGAUUCAAGACUAUCGUCCCAUCCAACACGGUUGUGAAUAGCUUGGGUAGAAUGACAUUAGACUAUGAGGUGGAUUUCGUUAUUAUUCUAAAGCACCCUGAUACCCCCCAACACCCAGAAGCAUCAACCACAAAGCUAUCGAUUAAAAGGAGUUUGCGGAUUACUUCAAGAGCUCUAUGACCACUAAUCUUAGGUUCAAGGAUUGCAACCACCGUAGGCCUAUAAACCUAAAUAUAAUGAGAGAGAUCCGUAACAAAAUUUUGAUGGUCGGCACCCCGACAAUUAUAAGAGAAAAAACUAAUCAUUAUUAGAAAAAAAAGUGAACGGAACAACCAAACCGUAAAAUCAGUCGGCGACCGACACCUCCUCUGCUAGUUGUGUCAGCGCCUCAUCAUCCAUCUUACUCUCGCCUUCCAAAAAUUGCGCUUCGGUCUAUUGAGGUUGACCGACGCUAGAGUUUCCACCCCGCUCCCACGCAUCCCUGAUUUAUUGCGUUGCUU